rnacentral:rRNA from 1 species
CGGAGGGUGCAAGCGUUAAUCGGAAUUACUGGGCGUAAAGGGUUCGUAGGUGGUUUAUUAAGUUAUUUGUAAAAUCCCUGGGCUUAACCUGGGCAGGUCAGAUAAUACUGGUAGACUCGAGUAUGGGAGAGGGUAGUGGAAUUUCCGGUGUAGCGGUGAAAUGCGUAGAGAUCGGAAGGAACACCAGUGGCGAAGGCGGCUACCUGGCCUAAUACUGACACUGAGGAACGAAAGCGUGGGGAGCAAACAGGAUUAGAUACCCUGGUAGUCCACGCCGUAAACGAUGUCAACUAGCUGUUGGUCAUAUUGAUAUGAUUAGUGGCGCAGCAAACGCGAUAAGUUGACCGCCUGGGGAGUACGGUCGCAAGAUUA